GUGCUCGUUUCGGCAGCAUACAUACUAAAAUCAGAACGACACAGAGAAGAUUAGCAUGGCCGCUGGGCAAGGAUGACACACCAAUUCAUGAAGCGUUCCAUGUUAAA
rnacentral:snRNA from 1 species